rnacentral:rRNA from 1 species
UACGGAGGGUGCAAGCGUUAUCCGGAUUUACUGGGUUUAAAGGGUGCGUAGGUGGGUUGGUAAGUCAGUGGUGAAAUCUCCGAGCUUAACUUGGAAACUGCCAUUGAUACUAUCAGUCUUGAAUAUUGUGGAGGUCAGCGGAAUAUGUCAUGUAGCGGUGAAAUGCUUAGAUAUGACAUAGAACACCAAUUGCGAAGGCAGCUGGCUACACAUAUAUUGACACUGAGGCACGAAAAGCGUGGGGAUCAAACAGG